ensembl:lincRNA 1700066J03Rik RIKEN cDNA 1700066J03 gene
AGACUCUACGCUGCUGCCAGCUUCUCUGGAGGAUGGAGAAGCUGACAGAAUACAGUGGGUUACAGAACGAACAGGGAUGAUCCUGGGACUGUCAGGGAAGUCAAGGAAACAAGUUUAAUUCAACGGAGGUUCUGGGCACUGAAUUCAGGUCCAUGAGCUUGGCCGGCAAGCACUUCCUGCCUCAGCAUUCCCCGGUGGUGCUAUGGAGUCUUUAAAGAGGUAGUGAUGCCAUCAGCAGAGGCCCUACAUCAGCAGUGCUAGUGUCCAUGCAAGAAGAGGACACAGGGGCACACAUGCUCACACUGGUGAGUCUAUGGGAAGGCACGAGGAGAGGACAGCCAUCUAGACACCAAGGAGAGUGAGCAGGAAGACCCCACUGACAGCUGGAUCUCAGACUUCUGAUCUCCAAGUUUUGGAGAAAAUAAAAUUCUAUUGUUGAAGUGC